rnacentral:rRNA from 1 species
CCUACGGGAGGCUGCAGUGGGGAAUAUUGGACAUUGGGGGCAACCCUGAUCCAGCCAUGCCGCGUGUGUGAAGAAGGCCCUCGGGUUGUAAAGCACUUUCAGUGAGGAAGAACGCCUGGUGGUUAAUACCCAUCGGGAAAGACAUCACUCACAGAAGAAGCACCGGCUAACUCCGUGCCAGCAGCCGCGGUAUACGGAGGGUGCGAGCGUUAAUCGGAAUUACUGGGCGUAAAGCGCGCGUAGGUGGCUUGAUAAGCCGGUUGUGAAAGCCCCGGGCUCAACCUGGGAACGGCAUCCGGAACUGUCAAGCUAGAGUGCAGGAGAGGAAGGUAGAAUUCCCGGUGUAGCGGUGAAAUGCGUAGAGAUCGGGAGGAAUACCAGUGGCGAAGGCGGCCUUCUGGACUGACACUGACACUGAGGUGCGAAAGCGUGGGUAGCAAACAGGAUUAGAUACCCGUGUAGUC